GGCAUACCAAAAUGUGUCUGGAAUUGGUGAGUUCUUGGUCUUACUGACUUUAAGAAUGAAGUUGCGGACUUCUGCGCUAAAAGAAAAUGCAUUCUUCCAACAACUAAUGAGCUUGGAAGAGAACUCCAAACCCCAGAAGAGGCCUGUCACAUUGGCUAACACCUUGAUUUCCACCCACUGAGACCUUGAGCAGAGACUUCAGUUACACCCCACCCAGACUUCUGACCUGCAAAACUCUCCAGAGGGAAGUGAGAAGGAUGUUCACUUGCUGGUGAGAGAAGGAGCUGGUUCCAUCCAUUAUGCAGUCCCCUGGGAGCGCUAAAUGCAACUUUAUCUCAAUGGGGAGUGGACGAUGAGCAGGACGUCGCUAGAGGGAAAGAGCCUCACUUCCCGUUUCCUUUGGCAGCGCCCUUUUCCCGACCUAAGGGAGCAGACCUUCGCUGGUUGGCGUGAGGACUGGCGGGAGAGGUUUUGUGCCAGGAUCCGCACUG
rnacentral:antisense_RNA from 1 species